rnacentral:rRNA from 1 species
GAUGAACGCUGGCGGCGUGCCUAACACAUGCAAGUCGAACGAAGCACUUUAUUUGAUUUCCUUCGGGACUGAUUAUUUUGUGACUGAGUGGCGGACGGGUGAGUAACGCGUGGGUAACCUGCCUUGUACAGGGGGAUAACAGUUGGAAACGGCUGCUAAUACCGCAUAAGCGCACGGCAUCGCAUGAUGCAGUGUGAAAAACUCCGGUGGUAUAAGAUGGACCCGCGUUGGAUUAGCUAGUUGGGGAGGUAACGGCCCACCAAGGCGAGGGGCCGUGACCCGUCUGAGGGGAGGAUGAGCCACACCGGGACUGGGAGACGGGCCAGAGUCCUACGGGAGGCAGGAGUGGGGAAUAUUGGACAAUGGGCGAAAGCCUGAUAAAGCCAAGCCGCGUGUGUGAAGAAGGUCUUCGGGUGGUAAAGCACUUUUAGUUGGGAGGAAGGAGAGUAAGUUAAUACCUUGCUGUUUGGACGUGACCAAAAGAAUAAGCACCGGCUAACUUCGUG